UGAAGGUUUCUGGAGGAAGGACUUGGAAAAUUUGAAGUGAACCUCUUUUGGGAAUUAAAAGUCUGGAGAAUUUUGUUGACCCAGCAUCAAGUUCACUGAUCUUUUUUGUUGUGUACAAUCUGCUAUUCAGCACAUCCAUUGGUCUGAGAGGAACCUGAGAAUUUGCAUUUCCAUCAAGUACCCUGGUGACGGUUUUUGUGGAGAACUACCCUCCUAAGAUAUUUCAGAAUCUUCUAAACCUGAAAAUCCCCUAGAACUGAUUCUCCUUUUAGAUACUUCUGAGAUAUAUUGUUACUGACUCAGCUUUAGUUGACCUUCUGUGGCAUUACCAAAGUCACUUAAUGCUUCUGUGUUUCUAUAUCACUGUCUGCAAGAUGGAAUAUGUCAUCUAAGGCUUAACGAUGCUUAGGCUCACAUGAAUAGUGCUAUGGAUUUGCAAGUAUUUAUUUUAAGGUAUUAUUUUGCAGACUUGGAAAAUUCCCCAGGGAAGUUAUGGUUAAGGCUCCAUAUAGAAACUGAAAUCCCUAUUUGGCUUCAAAAUUAUUCACUCUUGAGCACUGGCUUACUCAGAAAAAAAAAAUCAUCUUUUUGUUAUCUCAGUCUCUGUGAAGUUAUAGUUAAAAAUAAUUUUUAAAGUUAAACUUUCAUAAA
rnacentral:lncRNA from 10 species